rnacentral:rRNA from 1 species
GAUGAACGCUUGCGGCAGGCCUAAUACAUGCAAGUCGAGGGGUAUAGCGGUGCUUGCACUGCUAGAGACCGGCGCACGGGUGCGUAACGCGUAUGCAACCUACCUUAAUCAGGGGGAUAGCCCGGAGAAAUCCGGAUUAACACCGCAUGAAGACACAGGAUCGCAUGGUCCAAUGUCCAAACAUUUAUGGGAUUAAGAUGGGCAUGCGUGCCAUUAGCUAGUUGGCGGGGUAACGGCCCACCAAGGCGACGAUGGCUAGGGGAUCUGAGAGGAUGGCCCCCCUCACUGGUACUGAGACACGGACCAGACUCCUACGGGAGGCAGCAGUAAGGAAUAUUGGUCAAUGGGCGCAAGCCUGAACCAGCCAUGCCGCGUGCAGGAAGACGGCCCUCUGGGUUGUAAACUGCUUUUAUACCGGAAUAAACCUCUCUACGUGUAGGGAGCUGAAUGUACGGUAGGAAUAAGGAUCGGCUAACUCCGUGCCAGCAGCCGCCGUAAGAC